rnacentral:rRNA from 1 species
CCAAUCCCAACACGGGGAGGUAGUGACAAUAAAUAACAAUAUGGGGCCUUUACGGGUCUCGUAAUUGGAAUGAGUACAAUUUAAAUCCCUUAACGAGGAACAAUUGGAGGGCAAGUCUGGUGCCAGCAGCCGCGGUAAUUCCAGCUCCAAUAGCGUAUAUUAAAGUUGUUGCAGUUAAAAAGCUCGUAGUUGAAUUUCGGGGUCUGUCCAUCGGUCGGGCUUUUUCGGUCCGCACUGUUGCGAGGGAUUCCUCCCUUCUGAAUAACCGAUUUGCCAUUAAUUUGGUGGGUCGGGGAAGCAGGACUGUUACCUUGAAAAAAUUAGAGUGCUCAAAGCAGGCUAGUGCCUGAAUACAUUAGCAUGGAAUAAUAAAAUAGGACGGCAUGGUUUUAUUUUGUUGGUUUCUAGGAUCACCGUAAUGAUUAAUAGGGAUAGUUGGGGGCAUUAGUAUUCAAUUGUCAGAGGUGAAAUUCUUGGAUUUAUUGAAGACUAACUACUGCGAAAGCAUUUGCCAAGGAUGUUUUCAUUAAUCAAGAAAGAAAAUUAGGGGAUCGAAGACGAUCAGAGACCGUCGUAGU